UACGAAGGGGGCUAGCGUUGCUCGGAAUCACUGGGCGUAAAGGGCGCGUAGGCGGCCAUUCAAGUCGGGGGUGAGAGCCUGUGGCUCAACCACAGAAUUGCCUUCGAUACUGUUUGGCUUGAGUAUGGCAGAGGUCAGUGGAACUGCGAGUGUAGAGGUGAAAUUCGUAGAUAUUCGCAAGAACACCAGUGGCGAAGGCGGCUGACUGGGCCAUUACUGACGCUGAGGUGCGAAAGCGUGGGGAGCAAACAGGG
rnacentral:rRNA from 1 species